ACGGUCCUAAGGUAGCGAAAUUCCUUGUCAGGUAAGUUCUGACCCGCACGAAAGGCGUAACGAUUUGGGCGCUGUCUCGGCAGCAGACUCGGUGAAAUCUUAGUACCUGUGAAAAUGCAGGUUACCCGCAACUAGACGGAAAGACCCCAUGGAGCUUUACUGCAGCCUGAUAUUGAGUUUCGAUCAGAGAUGUACAGGAUAGGUGGGAGACAAAGAGACAUGCACGCCAGUGUAUGAGGAGUCGCUGUUGGGAUACCACUCUUGUCUGAUUGGAAUUCUAACCUGCAUCCCUAAGCGGGAUGAGGGACCGUGUCAGGUGGGCAGUUUGACUGGGGCGGUCGCCUCCCAAAGAGUAACGGAGGCGCCCAAAGGUACGCUCAGAUUGGAUGGAAAUCAAUCGACGAGUGCAAAUGCAGAAGCGUGCUUGACUGCGAGACAAACAGGUCGAGCAGGGACGAAAGUCGGGAUUAGUGAUCCGGCGGUGCCGAAUGGAAGGGCCGUCGCUCAACGGAUAAAAGCUACCCUGGGGAUAACAGGCUGAUCUCCCCCAAGAGUCCACAUCGACGGGGAGGUUUGGCACCUCGAUGUCGGCUCAUCGCAUCCUGGGGCUGAAGUAGGUCCCAAGGGUUGGGCUGUUCGCCCAUUAAAGCGGUACGCGAGCUGGGUUCAGAACGUCGUGAGACAGUUCGGUCCCUAUCUGUUGUGGGCGAAGGAGAUUUGAGGAGAGCUGUCCUUAGUACGAGAGGACCGGGAUGGACCUACCGCUGGUGCACCGGUUGUUCCGCCAGGAGCAUAGCCGGGUAGCUAAGUAGGGAAGGGAUAAGCGCUGAAAGCAUCUAAGCGCGAAGCCUACUCCAAGAUGAGAUCUCCCAUUCGCAAGAAGUAAGACCCCUUGAAGACGACGAGGUAGAUAGGUCAGGGAUGGAAGCAUAGCGAUAUGUGAAGUUGACUGAUACUAAUAGGUCGAGGACUUAAUCAC
rnacentral:rRNA from 1 species